CCCAGGGCUUCGCUUCGCUCCACCCUGGGCUAUCAAAUUUUGCCCUUUCAGGGCU
rnacentral:sRNA from 1 species